UUGGAGGGCAAGUCUGGUGCCAGCAGCCGCGGUAAUUCCAGCUCCAAUAGCGUAUAUUAGAGUUGUUGCAGUUAAAAAGCUCGUAGUUGAAUUUCGGGGUUAGUAGGUUGGUCAUGCCUCUGGUAUGUACUGGUCUCACUGAUUCCUCCUUCCUGAUGAGCCGUAAUGCCAUUAAUUUGGUGUUGCGGGGAAUUUGGACUGUUACUUUGAAAAAAUUAGAGUGUUUAAAGCAAGCUAACGCUUGAAUACAUUAGCAUGGAAUAAUGAAAUAGGACGUUCGAUCCUAUUUUGUUGGUUUCUAGGAUUGACGUAAUGAUUAAUAGGGAUAGUUGGGGGCAUUAGUAUUCAAUUGUCAGAGGUGAAAUUCUUGGAUUUAUUGAAGACUAACUACUGCGAAAGCAUUUGCCAAGGAUGUUUUCAUUAAUCAAGAACGAAAGUUAGGGGAUCGAAGACGAUCAGAUACCGUCGUAGUCUUAACCAUAAACUAUGCCGACUAGGGAUCGGAUGAUGUUAAUUUUUUAAUGACUCAUUCGGCGCCUUACGGGAAAC
rnacentral:rRNA from 1 species